GACGAACGCUGGCGGCGUGCUUAACGCAUGCAAGUCGAACGGAAAGGCCCUGCUUUUGUGGGGUGCUCGAGUGGCGAACGGGUGAGUAACACGUGAGUAACCUGCCCUUGACUUUGGGAUAACUUCAGGAAACUGGGGCUAAUACCGGAUAGGAGCUCCUGCUGCAUGGUGGGGGUUGGAAAGUUUCGGCGGUUGGGGAUGGACUCGCGGCUUAUCAGCUUGUUGGUGGGGUAGUGGCUUACCAAGGCUUUGACGGGUAGCCGGCCUGAGAGGGUGACCGGCCACAUUGGGACUGAGAUACGGCCCAGACUCCUACGGGAGGCAGCAGUGGGGAAUAGUGCACAAUGGGCGGAAGCCUGAUGCAGCAACGCCGCGUGCGGGAUGACGGCCUUCGGGUUGGAAACCGCUUUCGCCUGUGACGAAGCGUGAGUGACGGUAAUGGGUAAAGAAGCACCGGCUAACUACGUG
rnacentral:rRNA from 1 species